GUGGUGUAUGAACGCAGAGAAUGACAUGACUUGGGACUAUGGAAUUGAAGCUGCUUAUAAAAACUCAGCCUAGUUAUGUCCCCUUACACAAAGGGUAUGGGCACUGAAGCCAGACAAUCCCAAGCAAAUAUAGUGGGUCUUUAUCAGGGGAGUAAUCUUAGAUUGCUUGGCAUCAGUGCUCCAGUUGCUUUGUAUUGAUCAGUCGGAUGUAUCUGGGAGACUCCUGGAUACAAAGUAUUGUCACCAGUCCUCUGAGGGUUUGCUCUGAAGGCUUCUAUGUGGGCCUGGAGAAAGGCUGGAUUGUAGAAAGAUUGGUUGAUGUGUCAUCUCAUCUAAAUAAAGGUGAUGGUGUGGCAGGCAGAUAACCAGGUGGAUUUAAAUAAUUGUGGACAGUCACUUCAUCUAUUCCUGGAUUCCAGUGACCUUUGAACUCCCAUUUCAAUCUCUCUGUUGU